rnacentral:RNase_P_RNA from 1 species
GUAGGCCGAAAGCCACGACACUCGCUCCGCACAGAACCUUACCGUUCUUCUCUCGCGAGUGGGCUAAGGUCUGAGGAUAAAUGCUCCCUUAAUUGGCUCUAGCUGGGCCUGGCUUCAACUGGCCAAGUGGCUUAUCAGAAAAUCGCUGGAUGUCUCCUUUUUUGUCCAAAGACCUUCGUAUUCGUACGGAGUGAGGAAAAUGGGGGAUGUCUGGCUUGGAAUUAGUUAUGGAGAUUGGGCGCGAUUUUUUCGGCGUAUCUUCCUGGUUUCCCUCUACCUCACACGCAGAUGCUCCUUCAGGGAAGCGUGGGUGGCUGGUUGUUGAGCGGCAAAUAGCCGGCCCGCCGGUCACUUGUUCGAGUCCGCUGUGAAGCGGAUUUGAACCUGUUUUGUCACACUGCAGUACGCAGAAUUUUUAUACCGCGAACCGUUUAAACCUUCCUGUCCGCGGUGUAUCUGGCUAUAGCGCACAGCUUUUACACCACAGGCGGUCCGGGCGUUUGUAAUGUGCGGUAUACAUACUGAAGUUGGAGCGGUGUUGAUCCUGUGUAGGGAGGGAUCAGGGUUCGAAGAGAUGUUGAAUUUUACGCGUCCUUUAGUGCACUUCGUGGCGCGCGAUUUGCUUCAAGUCCGUCGUGAGACGAGCUUUGGGUUGUCGUGUAACUCGAUUCAGACUACUCUUGGCCUAC